CAGGGUCUCACUCUGUGCCCAGGCUGGCUUUGAACUCUUGGCAGUCCUCCUGCCUCGGCCUCCUAAGUGCUGAAAUUGCAGUCGCAAGCCACCACAUCCAGUAAAUCUGUGUGCACUGCUUUGUAGCUGCAAAGGAGGGACAGAAGUCGGAAUAUUGGCAAGCAUGCAGGCACAUCCAGAGAGGAGGAAAGACUGCAGAGUCCUGCUCAGUGCCUGCCACGCAUGGGUGCAGAGGAACGGCAGUCACGGGCUUCUAGCGUGUGGGGUGCUGGCUUCAGGGUUGGGGAAGCAGAAGGUGCUGUGGUUUUGAGAGUGCUGAGGAAAUGGAAUGGCUAAGAAGGUGUGUCUUUUCAGGUUUCAAAGGGAAAGUGGACUGUGUUUCUACCCACAGAAACUGUGGUCUCAUCAAAAGUAUCUGUCAGGGGGUUGUGUGAGCUUGCGAUCCAAGCUCCACCCCCACCUGGUUUCCUUAGCCUUGCUGAUGACAUCGGAACCUGCUCCCGUUACCCGUGUAUCCCCACAGAUGAAAAGCAACCCCAGGCCUGGACAGAAUUAAGACAGACUCGUGCCAAAGGGCCCGCCAGGCUCUCCACGUCUGAACCUUACCACCCACUUCCUGUAGGGAAGGGAGCAUUUUGUAUUUUGAAAAUCUUCGGAAGUCUCUCUGCUCUGCUAAUUGAAAAGCCUGUGCACACAGGACAAUGACAUUGGCACUCCUGUUUUCGAAUGCCUUAGUGUGAAGACGGCUACAUUAAAGCUCCUCAGAGCACAGGCCACUUAUCCUUCAUGGUGCUCCUAGUUUAAAAGCCAGGGACUUGUAGAUUUUUGUUUUCUCCCUAGCGACGUGCCAUCCUGCUUUCCUCAAGGCAAACAAUAUUUCACAGACUCUGGCGCAGACGGCCAGACAUCUCCUGCUCCUUCUCAGUUCCAUCAGCUUGUCCGCUGGGGCUGGCUGUCAUUCCAAGCCGCAAAGAAGCUCGCACUUCUAUUCUUGUUCUGGGAAGCAUAUGCCGAUUGGUAGAGCAAAAGCUGGAGCCGUGCCAUGAACACCCAGCAGGCCACCUCCGCAGCUUUGAUGUCUGAGGGUUGGGGCUUGGGGGGUGGGGACUUAUGCUGUCCAAAGGUGCUCACAAACACAAGAAAGGACACAUAAGAAUGUGUUGGUAAUUUAUUUUGGAAUUGUUUGCCCCUUGUUCACUCAGGGGCAGUCACUCAAGGAGCCCUGGCUGUGUGCAGGAUUAGCCUUGCCCAAACAGAAGAAAGCUUUGUCCCUUUGUCCCUGGACCCUGGGAGGCAAACUUCUGAGCCCUCUGAAUGCCCUACCUGGUAAAAUUGUUUCUGUUCUCCUGCGGAUAUGGCCCAUGCCAGUAUUCCAUGUUAAAUCUACAAUGUGUGGGAGAGGCUUCUACUCAUACAGUGUCAGUGGGCUCUCUGGCAGGGUUGGGGACUGAGGCUAGCCAAGCACGUGUUCACCAUGGAAACCAUACACAAAGUCACCAUCCAGGGGUCACCAUAAUUAUAGGACAUGAUGCCACUACCCAGGUGUCACUAUGACUAUAGGACACAAAGUCACCACUUGGGGGGGUCACCAUGACUACAGGACACCAAGUCACUACCCAGACUGUCACUAUGACUAUGGACAUAGGACUACCACCCAGGUUCACCAUCAAAACAGUUACACCUGGUCAUCACCCAUGUGAUCACCGUGAAGUAUGAACACCAUGCAUUUACUAAUGGAACUACAGGACUGUAGUAGGCAUAAGGAUAAGGAGCUUCAGGUGACAACAUUCUUGUUUUGAUAAUGCACAGGUGGCCACCAGUUCUUGCUGGAAGGAAUCUGUGUCACUCCACUGGGAGCCUUCUUACCUGAUCUCCUCUGGGCCAUCUCACUUUCCUUUUCCUGUGGCUGGUUUUUAUCUGGGUUGUGUCUCUGCGGUCACCAGCAGUGCUGGUAUCACAGCUUUACUGUACUGUGUGUGGCCCUCUAGCAAAUCAAUGGACAUUGCCAUCUUAGGGACCCCUCCCCAGUCCCCCAGGGAGAGACUGCUCAGAAAGGUACUAUGGGACACACAGAGAUGAGAACACAGUGUCUCUAACACUAAGACAAGGAAGCUCGCCAUUGUGGAUAAACAUUACUCAGUAAUCAAAGGACCACAGCAAACAAGGUUGCACUUGCCACAGCUUCCCUUCCCUUCUGUGGACAGGUCCUUUCCCAGGGACAAGGUGCACUCUGGAAGUCCUCACCACUACAGCUGUAGUGGGUGCUGCCGUGGGCGAUAGACAUGGGUAUACAAAUAAUGCAAUUGUAUUCCUUAUUUAGUUCAGUGUCUUUUUUUCAUCUUAUCUCUACCCAAGUGACAGAAAAUCCACCUCAGUCAGUACCUAGACAUAGUUUGUCAGUCCUGUGUCCUCAUCUCCCCUGAGUAGCAUCUAAGUCUGUCAUGCAUACCCUGGGGCUGAAGUGAUGGGGGUGGCUUUGGUGUCUACCUUGUCCAUCAUGGUAUUCCACCAUUAGCCACCAUACAAAGGCUGAGUCACCUCUGAGCUAAUUCAUGCCAUCUAAGCAAUGCAGGGGAACAUUAACUGCUUUUCCCCAUGGCUCUCCGGCUACCUGGGAGUCUACAUAACUUAGUACGCCAGGUUUUAACUGUUUAACUGUGUCUUCCUUGCCCAUCCCCCAGCUCUCAUCAAGCCACACUCAAGAGAGUCUGCAGAGAGAUCUGUGUUCUAGCUCAGUCAACACCUACCCUAACCCAGUCUUAGUGUCCUGUGCUCCAAAAGAAGGAAAUGGAUGCAUGGUUUCCCAAAGACUCUCACUGGUAUCCAUCUAUAGCUCAGGCACUGAUGCUCUGUCAUGCAAACACUUCCCAAGGCCUCACAAAGAAGAGCAUUCCAUCCAGCAUGUGUCUGAAGUGUCCCUCUGGUCCCUUCCCCGAGCUCAUAUGUUCAGCUACACGGGAGGUCAUGACUACAAGCAAUGGCUUGGUGGCACACAAUAAAGUUGGUUGGCUGGCUGUGA